rnacentral:lncRNA from 1 species
CUUUUUGCCAUUUCUUGGGCCGCUCCUGCGGCAUAUGGAGGUUCCCGGGCUAGGGGUUGAAUCGGAGCUGUAGCCACCAGCCUACACCAGAGCCACAGCAACGCAGGAUCUGAGCCGCGUCUGCGACCUACACCACAGCUCACGGCAACGCCGGAUCGUUAACCCACUGAGCAAGGGCAGGGACCGAACCCGCAACCUCAUGGUUCCUAGUCGGAUUCGUUAACCACUGCGCCACGACGGAAACUCCUGAUUUUUUUUUUCUAAUGGGUUUGUCUUGAGCUGCUUCUUAGGAAGAGAGUAUGGAGAACUUUCUCAGACAAGCCCCUUGUAUUUCAUAAGGGGGUGGGCAGGGACAUGACGAAGGAUCAUACGUCCCUUUUCUAAACACAUCAGGAAAAAGGAAAAGGAGUUACCAAAUUGAGCAGCAAAAUCAGUGUUUUGACAACAAAACCAUCACAGAAGUGGCUGCUGGGUAGACAACCCUCAGGUCUGACAGAGACUCUGGGUCUCUGAAGUCCAUUCAAAGUCCCCAAAUGCAAUGCUGAGAUGAGCCCAAGGUGGCUGUGCCCACCCCCCACUCCCACCCUCCCCAGUCUCCAAGUCCUGCCUUGUUCCUACUCGGUGGAGCUGGGUGGGAGGUGGUGCUGGUGAGAGAACCAGGACCCCACAGCCACGAGCUGCCCUCUGGCCCACAGGCACCCCCAUUCAGGCAGGCACUACCUCUGGCAGCUUUCUGGACUCUAUUUCUGAAAACAUCCUAGCCCACCAGGCCCAGAACUGAUGACACCUUACUUUCCUUCCUGCAUCUUCACAUAAAUAAUCAGAAACUGAUAAGAAUGACUUAAACAAAAAUAGAAGUCUAUUUUUUUCUCAUGGAAGAGGUCCAGAAGAAGGCAACUUAGGAUCUAUGGCCUUUAAGAACCCCAGCGCCUUCCAUCUUUCUGCUCCUCCAUCCUCAGCAUACAUCUACCCUCAAAGUUCUCUCAUAGUCCAAGAUUGCUUCUGCAAUUCUAUUAUCAUCAUGUUCUGUUCUAAAAGGAAAAUUUUUUAAAAAAACCUAUGUCUUCCAUAUCCCCUUCCCUUUUUAAGGGGCUUUCCCCACAUCCCACCCCAAAACUUCAUCUUCUAUCUCAUUUGGCCAAUACCUAGUCACAGGGCCACCCCUUGCUUCUAAGGAGGCUGGGAAAUGUCCUUUUUAACUGGGCAUCUUGCACUCUCCAAUUCACUAAAAUCAGUAUGCAAGAUGAAGAGAAUGGAAAAUCUGGGCAGUUGACAUACUACCCAAAGCAAACUACAGAGUUAAUGCAAUCCCUAUCAAAUUACCCAUGACAUUUUUCAUUGAACUAGAAUGAUCCUAAAAGUUAUAUGGAACCAUAAAAGACCCAGAAUUGCCAAAGCAAUCUUGAGGAACAAGAAGAAAGCAGGAAGCAUAACCUUUCCAGACUUCAGACAAUACUUUAAAGCUACAGUAAUCAAAACAGCACGGUAUUGGCACAGAAAGAGUCAUAUGGAUCAAUGAAACAAAAUAGCCCAGAAAUAAACCCACACACCUACAGUCAAUUAAUCUUCAACAAAGGAGGCAGGAAUAUACAAUGGAAAAAAGGGUCUCUUCAGCAAGUGGUAUUGGGAAAGUUGGACAGCUGCACGUAAAUCAAUGAAGUUAGAACACACCCUCACAAUGUACACAAAAAUAAACUCAAAAUGGCCUAAAGACUUAAAUAUAAGACAUGACACGAUAAAACUCCUAGAAGAGAACAUAAGCAAAACAUUUCCUGACAUAAAUCGUAGCAAUGUUUUCUUAGGUCAGUUUCCCAAGGCAAUAGAAAUAAAAUCAAAUACAAACAAAUGAGACAUAAUCAAAUUUAUAAGCUUUCAUACAGCAAAGGAAACUAUAAACAAAAUGAAGAAAACAACCUACAGACUUGGAGAAAGUAUUUGCAAAAUAAUGUAACUCACAAGGGCUUAAUUUCCAAAAUAUACAAACAGCUCAUACAACUCAACACCAAAAAAACAACCCAAUCAAAAAAUGGGCAAAAAGACCUAAAUAGACAUUUCUCCAAAGAAGACAUACAGAUGGCCAAUAGGCACAUGAAGCGAUGCUCAACAUCACUAAUUAUUUUUGUCUUUUUAGGGCCGCACCCAUGGUAUUUGGAAGUUCCUAGGCUAGGGGUCAAAUCGGAGCUGCAGCUGCUAGCCUACGCCACAGCCACAGCCACAGCCACAGCGCCACAUCUGAGCUGCAUCUGCAAACUUCAUUGCAGCUCACAGCAACGCCAGAUCCUUAAUCCACUGAAAGGGGACAGGGAUCAAAUUUGAAUCCUCUUGGAUACUAGCCAGUUUUGUUUCCACUGAGCCACAACGGGAACCCCCUCACUAAUUAUUAGAGAAAUGCAAAUCAAAACUAUAAUGAGGUACCACCUCACUCCAGUCGGAAUAGCCACCAUUUUAAAAAUCUACAAAUAAUAAAUGCUGGACAGGAUGUGGAGAAAAGGGAACCCUCCUACACUGCUGGUGGAAAUGUAAACUGGUACAGCCACUAUGGAAAACAGUAUGGAGAAUACUCAAAAAACUAAAAAUAGAUUUGCCAUAUGAUCCAGCAAUCUCACUUCAGGGCGUAUAUCCAGAGAAAACUGUAAUUCAAAAAGACAUAUGCAGUUGAGUUUAGAGUCAGUUGAAAAAAAGCCCAAGAAAACACCCAUUAUGAUAGAUGGUGCUAAAUUCCAUGUUAAGGAGAAAUACAAGAAAGGGGAACUUGGAAGAGAGGCACCUCUGCAGGUGGGGGACCUCAGAGGCAUCAUGGGGCUGCUUGAAGGAUGAAGGGGAGCUUGAGUGCAGGAGAGGCUGGAAAGUUUGGAAAGGAGGCCAGCAUGUGCAAAGGUGUGACCCUGCAAAAACAGCACAGGGUGUUCUGGAAACCUUUUCCCAGUGUGCACUGAUAUCAGGUAAGGCUCCAGUUUCUGGCCUUUUAUAACCAGCUAUUUAUUUGGCUCAUCUGAACUCAAACAGAUUGGAGGCUGGAUAUCAGCUCCACCAGCUAACAACAAGAGCUCAAGCUAGGGGUUUAACCUUGAGCCUGAGCUUUACCCUCAGCAUGAGCUUCAGCGACCUUGUCUCUACAUGCCCUGGGCUCUGUAGGCUAAGUGAGAUCUCCUGUAUAAACAUGCCAAACGUGGUGCUGAUACAGGGUGAAUUUUCAGUCCAGAUUUCUCCAUUCCCUCCUCUUCUCCAGGGCUAUGGGGUGACCCUCAUAGGUUUUAGGAACCAGGAAGAGGAGACAGUCACCAGCCAAUGGCGUAAGGAGGGCAACAGUGGUUUCUGUGUUGAUGACAUUUGUAAGUGCAAACUGGAACAAGAAAAAAAAUCAGGUGAGAGAAACCAUGAUUCCUGCCAAGGCUUAGACUGCAUUGCUCACCCUGGGGAAAGCAGCUGCAAAGAGCUUUCAAACAGGGGAAAGGUCAACCCGUUGUAAGAGAAUAAGCUGCCAAAGCUUGUGGCCCUGGGCCCUCCUUCCUCAAUUCCCAUGACCCCCUGUGCUGGUUUCCUCCUUGGAGAUGGGAAGGUGACCCCUGCCCUGCCAGGCUGUCUGGGCUCUGUGCAGGGGGUUUGGAGAGUGUAAACUCCAGGCAACCCUGAUGAGGAAGGUUGUUUUCGUCCCCCUCCCUCUGCAGGCUGGUCUCAUCUCAACACUGCCUCCGCACCGGCCUGCGCCCAAAGCUCUCCUUCCUUUUACUUUCCAAAUCCCUUGCGUCCUUCACCACCACACAUCCAGGAGGCCCGUCCUGGUGGCUCUGGUCUAUGCUGAUCCCUGUGCCCUUGAGACACCAUCAGACACCACACCACCAGACAGUCACUCUCUCUUCUGUUUCUUUUUUCUCUUGGGCUCCAUCCGCACCCCACUUGAAAAAGACCAUCUGAGCUCCCACGCCCCUGAAGCAGCAGCAUCUCAUCCACCAGGAACGUGUUAAAGAUGCAAAAAUACACCCUGAGGGGUGGGGCUAGCCAUCUAUGCUUUAACGAGCCUACAGGUGAUUCUAACACCUGCUCCCGGUUCAAGGACCAGGGCUCCCAACAAUCCUGUCUCCUAAGAAGGGAAUGGCAAAAAUAGUGACAGCCCCAUCACAGAGCACUUAUUCUUUCCUUCAGCAAUAUCACAGCGCGCCAACUUCCGGGAGAUGGGAGGAAGAGCGGUUCAUCCCC